UUUCUACUCCCUCCGUCCGAAAAUACUUGUCAUCAAAAUGGAUAAAAAUAGAUGUAUCUAAAACUAAAAUAUGUCUAGAUACAUUUCCUUUUAUCCAUUUUGAUGACAAGUAUUUCCGGACGGAGGGAGUAUUUC
rnacentral:pre_miRNA from 1 species